ACCACCAUCAAAUAUCUAAAAGGUGUAUCCCUUGGCCUUCCCAGGCAAGGCGGGACUCUUGGGUUCGAUCCCUGGACCAGGAAGAUCCCCUGGAGAAGGAAAUGGCUGCCCAUUCCAGUAUUCUUUCCUGGAGAAUUUCAUAGACAGAGGAGCCUGGCAGGCUACUCCAUGGGGUCGCCAAGAGUGGAUACAACUGAACAACGAACACUUUCACUUUCACCCUUUGGAUCCACCAUGGACUCUUUUGAAGUGCAGUGCUUCCUUGAACUCAGAGCAGAUUCACCCGCCAGACUCAGGCUGGAAGAUAUAUAUUACAGCAAAAAAUAAGGAAUAACUAUCCUUGUCUUCAAGCAACUCAGAUUUAGACAGUGAUCCAGACGCUGAUUUAAGGAGCAACCAAUAUUAUGCAACAAGUGCAGUAACAC
rnacentral:lncRNA from 1 species